CUUCACAUGCUGGAUAUUAAAGAGCACAAUGGACAGAGUGCCUUUCAGGUGGCAGUGGCUGCCAAUCAGCAUCUCAUUGUGCAGGAUCUGGUGAACAUCGGGGCACAGGUGAACACCACAGACUGCUGGGGAAGAACACCUCUGCAUGUCUGUGCUGAGAAGGGCCACUCCCAGGUGCUUCAGGCGAUUCAGAAGGGAGCAGUGGGAAGUAAUCAGUUUGUGGAUCUUGAGGCAACUAACUAUGAUGGUAAGCAACUGAAACUUUAUUAGAUUCAGAGCCACUUAGGGGGACCCAUAAGGUCUAAGGGUGCUAAGUAUACUAAGAAGGAAGGUAAUUAAAGCUAAAAUAUUCUGUAGGUAAAAUUAGACCCAAAAAGAGACUAUAUUCAGAUUGCCUUACUAGUUCUUGUGGAGUCCAUUUAUAGGUUAAGUUAGAGGCCAUCCUCAACACUUGUCAUUAUAGAAGGACCAAAAGACCUGAUGGGAUGCUUGACCACUGCUUGAUUAUACUUUUCUUCUAGGCCUGACUCCCCUUCACUGUGCAGUCAUAGCCCACAAUGCUGUGGUCCAUGAACUCCAGAGAAAUCAACAGCCUCAUUCACCUGAAGUUCAGGAGCUUUUACUGAAGAAUAAGAGUCUGGUUGAUACCAUUAAGUGCCUAAUUCAAAUGGGAGCAGCGGUGGAAGCGAAGGUAAAUUCACAGAAAAGGUUUAAGAUGGGGUAGGGGAGAAACUGGUUAUAGCAGAAGACCUUGCUUCCAAGUACAGAUUCAAACUUCUUUCUUUUUUUUCUGAAAUUAAUGGU
rnacentral:sRNA from 1 species